ACUUUUAACAACGGAUCUCUUGGUUCUGGCAUCGAUGAAGAACGCAGCGAAAUGCGAUAAGUAAUGUGAAUUGCAGAAUUCAGUGAAUCAUCGAAUCUUUGAACGCACAUUGCACUCGCCAGCAUUCUGGCGAGCAUGCCUGUUCGAGCGUCAU
rnacentral:rRNA from 1 species